GGCGGGUGCCUAUACAUGCAGUCGAGCGAAUGGAUUAAGAGCUUGCUCUUAUGAAGUUAGCGGCGGACGGGUGAGUAACACGUGGGUAACCUGCCCAUAAGACUGGGAUAACUCCGGGAAACCGGGGCUAAUACCGGAUAACAUUUUGAACCGCAUGGUUCGAAAUUGAAAGGCGGCUUCGGCUGUCACUUAUGGAUGGACCCGCGUCGCAUUAGCUAGUUGGUGAGGUAACGGCUCACCAAGGCAACGAUGCGUAGCCGACCUGAGAGGGUGAUCGGCCACACUGGGACUGAGACACGGCCCAGACUCCUACGGGAGGCAGCAGUAGGGAAUCUUCCGCAAUGGACGAAAGUCUGACGGAGCAACGCCGCGUGAGUGAUGAAGGCUUUCGGGUCGUAAAACUCUGUUGUUAGGGAAGAACAAGUGCUAGUUGAAUAAGCUGGCACCUUGACGGUACCUAACCAGAAAGCCACGGCUAACUACGUGCCAGCAGCCGCGGUAAUACGUAGGUGGCAAGCGUUAUCCGGAAUUAUUGGGCGUAAAGCGCGCGCAGGUGGUUUCUUAAGUCUGAUGUGAAAGCCCACGGCUCAACCGUGGAGGGUCAUUGGAAACUGGGAGACUUGAGUGCAGAAGAGGAAAGUGGAAUUCCAUGUGUAGCGGUGAAAUGCGUAGAGAUAUGGAGGAACACCAGUGGCGAAGGCGACUUUCUGGUCUGUAACUGACACUGAGGCGCGAAAGCGUGGGGA
rnacentral:rRNA from 1 species